rnacentral:RNase_P_RNA from 1 species
AGGGAAGAUUAAAUGUCUGCUGCUCAGAAUUCUGCACACCUCCCCAUAGAUGUCUAUUUUGAGCAGAGGAAAGUCCGGACACCGCAGAGCAGGAUAGUUCCUAACGGGAACCUGUCGCAAGACAGAGCCAGCUCCACAGAAACAAACUACCUCACUGCAAUCUGAGUGGGGAAAAGGUGAAAUGGUGGUGUAAGAGACCACCGGUGGUUCCGGUGACGGAAUCAGCCCGGAAUGCCUUAUCCGGUGCAAUGCCAAAUAGGAAAGCUCAGUGUUGCUCGCACGAUUAUGCUUUCGGGUAGGCAGCUAUAGCCGCAGGAGACCUUCGGGUCAGGUGCAAGCCGCGGCACAGAGGAAUGGACAUUGUCCUGCCUUUUAGGCAGGGAACAGAAUCCGGCUUAUUAUCUUCCCGCAGC